rnacentral:rRNA from 1 species
ACGGCUCAGUAACACGUGGUCAACAUAACCAAAGGACGUGGAUAAACUCGGGAAACUGAGGCUAAACCGCGAUAGAUCAAGAUACCUGGAAUGGUUUUUGAUCAAAAUCUAUAUGGCCUUUGGAUUGGACUGCGUCCGAUCAGGCUGUUGGUGAGGUAAUGGCCCACCAAACCUGUAACUGGUACGGGCUCCGAGAGGAGGAGCCCGGAGAUGGGUACUGAGAAAAGGACCCAGGCCCUAUGGGGCGCAGCAGGCGCGAAACCUCUGCAAUAGGCGAAAGCCUGACAGGGUUACUCUGAGUGACUUUCGCUAAGAAAGUCUUUUGACACCUCUAAAAAUGGUGUAGAAUAAGGGGUGGGCAAGUCUGGUGUCAGCCGCCGCGGUAAUACCAGCACCCCGAGUGGUCGGGACGAUUAUUGGGCCUAAAGCAUCCGUAGCCGGUUUUACAAGUCCCCCGUUAAAUCCAGCUGCUUAACAGAUGGGCUGCGGAGGAUACUAUAAGACUAGGAGGCAGGAGAGGCAAGCGGUACUCAGUGGGUAGGGGUAAAAUCCGUUGAUCCAUUGAAGACCACCAGUGGCGAAGGCGGCUUGCCAGAAUGCGCUCGACGGUGAGGGAUGAAAGCUGGGGGAGCAAACCGGAUUAGAUACCCGGGUAGUCCCAGCUGUAAACGAUGCAGACUCGGUGAUGGACUAGCUUUAUGCUAGUCCAGUGCCGCAGGGAAGCCGUUAAGUCUGCCGCCUGGGUAGUACGGUCGCAAGACUGAAACUUAAAGGAAUUGGCGGGGGAG